rnacentral:rRNA from 1 species
UACGUAGGGGGCGAGCGUUGUCCGGAUUUAUUGGGCGUAAAGAGCGUGUAGGCGGCGAGGUAGGUCUGCUGUGAAAGUCCAGGGCUCAACCCUGGAAAGCCGGUGGAUACUGUCGGACUAGAGUGCGGAAGAGGCGAGUGGAAUUCCCGGUGUAGCGGUGAAAUGCGCAGAUAUCGGGAGGAACACCAAUUGCGAAGGCAGCUCGCUGGGACGUUACUGACGCUGAGACGCGAAAGCGUGGGGAGCAAACAGG